UUAAAAUGGCUGCCAUUCACUUAAUUAGCUUCAAGCUAACAAUCCACUGAGAGGGGCAGCAUCAUUAAUGUUUUGUGUAGCAGAGGUGGGGCAUGCAAUCCAUCUGCCUUAAGGCAGAUAGAACAGAUAAUCAACGGAUCUUGAGGAUUUCCACUCUAAUUGGGCCAUUAUUUGGAAAAGUGGAGGAAGUUUAUAAAGCUUUUAAAAGAAGGCCUUUUGGCUGAAGUAGCAUGGUGGAAAACUAGUCCUCCAGCUAACUAAUUAACUGGAAGUAUUGACCAAACAUAGCUGCCUAGAUGAUUGUUUGAGGUCCUGCUCUAAAUGUCUUAAGGCUAAUUGAUACCCAGACCCAGAGGAAGAGGGUAAACAGGAGACAGCUGCAUUACCACUCCUGCAGGAACCAGCCUUCCCAUAAUGCUCUUGCUGUCAGGCCACAUCAGAGAGUCGUGGCAACCUCGCAGAUGGAUAAAGGCCACAUUUUUGGGGUGUAAAGCUUCGAAAACAAAAGACUGGGGUCUAUUGGUAGAAAUAAGAAUCCAGAUGUUUGGAGCGAUGCAUAUUAAACAGUGGAUGUCAUGUGGGCUGUAAAUCCAGUGAGCGAAGAGCGAGCG
rnacentral:lncRNA from 1 species